rnacentral:misc_RNA from 1 species
UCAAACUUGGUCAUUUAGAGGAAGUAAAAGUCGUAACAAGGUCUCCGUAGGUGAACCUGCGGAGGGAUCAUUACCGAGCGAGGGCCUCCGGGCCCAACCUCCCACCCAUGUGGUUCGGAAAGAUUGCCUCGGGGGCGACCCGCAAGGGCCCCCCGGCGGAUCACGCACAACCUUUGAACCGUCGUCGAGUUUGAAAACAAAUAAGCAAAACUUUCAACAAUGGAUCUCUUGGUUCUGGCAUCGAUGAAGAACGCAGC